GCACUUCUCUGCUACUCCUGCAGGAGGGCUCAGGCUCAGAAGUGAAGGCACUGCUGGGGGUUGGUUAGCUCCUCUCCAUUGGACUCACCACGAUCCCCCUGGGGUUCUAGAGAUGGUGAGAAACUCCAGGAGGUAGAUUGCUGAAGAUCCUCAACAUCUUGGCUCAGCUGUGCACAGAGAGCGUGAUCAAACUGUCUUAAGGUGAACUCUUUCAUCCUGCCAAGUCUUGAGGAGAAUUCUAUUACAUAUUAGAUGCAGAUCUGAGAUCCAAGAUGCUGAAAAUGCCAGACUUCUCAACUGAGUUGAGAUACAUGAACGCCUGCAACUAUGGUUUCUCUGUUUUGUAGCAGGUGUUCAUACCUGCCAACAUAUCCCUAUUUUUCCCAUUCAGAAUGAACUUUUUAUUGAAGCAUGCCUGUGUCCAGUACUGUUUCCAGAAGGUUCUGUUCCUUCAGCCCACUGAAGGCUAUUGGUGAGCCUGCUGACAAGGUGCAGUUGAGUAAGCUGAUGUUUGUUUCUAAGGAUAUUUGUUGACUGUGACCAAGAUGGUCCUAAAACUUGCUUCUGUCAAUAAAUCUAUGCUAC